GGAAGCCUGCAUAACCUUUUGCCUCCCAGAUGGGAAAACCCACUUCUACACAGGGGAAAAUCUGGUGAUGGAUUUGUGAAAUGCACAGCCCCUGCAGUUAUUCCAUCACACCUUUGACACAGCGUGAAAGGAUGUGCAAGAGAUUCAUCCCAAGAAUACCCUGCACCUGUAGGGAGGGUGGCAGAUGGAUUCUAGGCUGGUGUAGUCUGAAAUGAGGAAAAACAGCCCGUGAAGGUGCAAGCUUGCCGUGAAGGUGUGCACAGGUCACACAUGCCGGUGUGAUGCCAUGUGUGAGAGUUUGCUUCCCGGGGGAACAAUUGCUUCUAGGUACCUGCUCCUCCCCACUGGCAAGUUUGAGCAUCUCUCAGUCAUAAAGGAAGGUAAAUUAACAUUUCUGGUCACUGCUCGUAGCUCUGCCUGUUUAGACCUUCAUUUAACAAAGCUGCUGAUUUCAGCAAGGAGGAAUUCAAACCAGCACCAAGUGCUUUGCUAAUUCCAAGCUGAAGUGAGCUGGAGAGCAGCACGUGGUCCCCAGAACACUGAAAGGAUGGAUGCUGCCAGGUGAUGAGGAUUCUUCCUGGGCAUGAAAUAGACAUUUUUCAGUGCUUUUCCUGUGUUACUUGUGUUUAUUUAUUUUCUUUUAGUACUGUGGGAUGUCCCAAACAGACAAUCCUUCUCCAUCCUCUGGCUGUGGCAGCAAAUGUCUGCUGUUGAACCCAGCACACCCUGCCAAGUUCCAAGAACUUUCUUUAUCCUCUCUGCUGCCAUCUCCUCCUCAAGAAGACUAGAGAAUAAUCCCAAUUAGUGCUACAGUGUGCCCUCCUUUGUCUUCCCCUCCUGUGGAGUGUCUCUGGGCUUGCCUCAGGAGGCAGGACACAUGGGUAGCCAGGUGAGAAGCUGGAUCUAGGAAGC